AAUAUCCUUUUAUGAUAGAAACAAAUGUAUUAUACGCACAAACAGCACACAAAUCACGGUAGUACCGUGGUUACAAACGUGGGUCCGAGUUCGAGUCCUGCUCUGGAGAGACCAGUCCUGUGAGAUGGAGAACUGGUGCCCUCACCCCCAGUAGCAUCCAUCCAGACACCAUCACUGACACUGGCCGUGCUCAGAACUGCCUCAGCCCUGAAGACACUGCUGACAAAUAGAAGGGGGCCGCGCCCUGUUACAGCAGGUGCUCUCACUUUGUGGGUCCUUAUGUAACUGCGUGGUGUUAAUCAGGAUCGCCCGUCCUACAUUGUGUGAUGCUGCUGCCUUGUCUCCUAGUUACUUGUUUCUCUAAGUAUUCUUUGCCCCUCCUGC